UACGUAGGUGGCAAGCGUUGUCCGGAUUUAUUGGGUUUAAAGGGUGCGUAGGUGGCUUGUUAAGUCCGGGGUGAAAGCCCACAGCUCAACUGUGGAACUGCCCUGGAUACUGGCGAGCUUGAGUCCAGACGAGGUUGGCGGAAUGGAUGCUGUAGCGGUGAAAUGCAUAGAUAGCAUCCAGAACCCCGAUUGCGUAGGCAGCUGACUAGGCUGGUACUGACACUGAGGCACGAAAGCGUGGGGAGCGAACAGG
rnacentral:rRNA from 1 species